CUGCCAACAAGUCGUCAACAAGUUGUAUUCGCACUGCUUGUCACAAGUUGUCAACAAGUUUGGAACAAGCUGUUAACAACUUGUAACAACCUUGUCGAUAUCAGACUUGUUGCAAGGUUGUUCCAACAAGUCCGAUACAGUCAUAUAACAAUAUUAGGGCCAUUUAUACGAGACAAAAUAAGACGCGACUUACAUAAGACGCGACUUAAAUAAGCGGAGUUAUCGCAUAAAUGGUUCUCUACGGCUUUAUUCUUAUUUACUUGCUAUAGCUAUAAUGUUGUUACGGUUGUUUUUGUUUUAAUAUGCAAGGCUAAUAAUUGUACGUUGUUUCAAGUUUCGGGCAUGUGUAGUUAGAAUGUUUGUCCAAAAUUUCUUAUUUAAGACGCGACUUACAUAAGAACAGCUAAAAGUCCUGUUCUUAUUUAAGUCGCGUCCUAUCCAAGACGCGUCUUACAUAAGAAUUUUGUGCCUUUUAUACGACAAACUCGCGUCUUAUUUAAGUCGCGUCUUAUGUAAGUCGCGUCUUAUUUUGUCUCGUAUAAAUGGCCCUAAUGUUACGACCUUGUGUCGUCAACCGUGUAACAUGUUUGUUAUAUCAUGGCUGUAUCAGACUUGUUAGAACAACCUUGUAACAAGUCUGACAAUGCCAUCAAGCUUGUUACAAGUUGUUAACAGCU